UGAAUCGGAAAUCAAUGAGAUCUCGUCCAAAGGGAGUACCGAUCUGUUGGUCAAGUAGGAAGGAUGCUGCACUCGAAUAAAAAGAAACACAAGAGUACGUCACCUAUUUGUCGUUCUACCAAUGCCGUCUUAUGCCUGGACUAUAUGUAGUUCCUAAUAAAGUGAGGCAACUCCCAGAUGCUGAAUGGAUCUGAACUUUUUGAACGCACGUCCAGCGGAGCACCUCAAAGUCGUCGUCCAAUUGACCUCUCUCUAUUUGUAUUGUUUGAUUAUUUAGAUGUGCACUAUAUUAAGAGUAUAUAUGUUACUA
rnacentral:sRNA from 1 species